rnacentral:rRNA from 1 species
GCGUGAGUGAAGAAGGCCUUCGGGUUGUAAAGCUCUUUUGUCAGGGACGAUAAUGACGGUACCUGAAGAAUAAGCCCCGGCAAACUUCGUGCCAGCAGCCGCGGUAAUACGAAGGGGGCUAGCGUUGUUCGGAAUUACUGGGCGUAAAGCGCACGUAGGCUGACAUUUAAGUCAGGGGUGAAAUCCCGAGGCUCAACCUCGGAACUGCCCUUGAUACUGGGUGUCUCGAGUCCGGAAGAGGUUAGUGGAAUUCCCAGUGUAGAGGUGAAAUUCGU